rnacentral:tRNA from 1 species
GGAGAGGUGCAGGAGUGGUUGAACUGGCACGCCUGGAAAGCGUGUAUACCGCAAGGUAUCGAGGGUUCGAAUCCCUCUCUCUCCG